rnacentral:rRNA from 1 species
UACGGAGGGGACUAGCGUUGUUCGGAAUUACUGGGCGUAAAGCGCACGUAGGCGGAUUUGUAAGUCAGGGGUGAAAUCCCGGGGCUCAACCUCGGAACUGCCUUUGAUACUGCAAAUCUCGAGUCCGGAAGAGGUGAGUGGAAUUCCUAGUGUAGAGGUGAAAUUCGUAGAUAUUCGCAAGAACACCAGUGGCGAAGGCGGCUCACUGGCCCGAUACUGACGCUGAGGAGCGAAAGCGUGGGGAGCGAACAGG